UCAAGCCUUGGGUCAACGGUAGCUUAGCUUAACUGGUAGUGUUGGACAUGAAAUAGGGGGGGAGGUUUCUGUUUUCAGUCUGUUUUUUUCUUACAAUUUUGCUCAAAAGUACCCAGGAGUUAAAGGGAUAAAGUGGCAGGCUUAUUAUUAUCGUGAAUUUUGGCGUCGGAAAAACUAGUUUCCUUUCAAUAUCUGACGAUAUGGCUGGGAAAGUGCUGAAGAUGAGGAUGUCUAGUGCAUGUCUACCCAAUUUGGUGGAAUUCGGGAAAGUAUCAAAUUACAUGUUGCUAGCACUUUGAUGGAGCAUGUGAUUCCAGAGAAAAAUACACACACUUCCCCACCCCAAAAGGACUUAUUUGACCUUGAGUCAGAGCAUGGCAAAAUUCUGUAAUGUAGCAAUAAACAUUUUUUCUUGUCAGCCAUCUUGCAUUUUAUUGGUAGUUAUAAUCACUGCAAUCAUCUGCGGGUGCCAAUGCAGCUACUGGUGCUAGAGUUGGGAUCGGAUGAUCUAUCGCAGCUGCACUAUCAACACCAAAAGGGAUUAUUAUUAUAAUUCUGCCAUUGUUCAAAGGAAUCCCUGAGAGAAUAAUGUCAUGUAAUGUCAUGUCUUGUAAAAGUGAUCACGAUCUGUUGAGGAAAUGCAGUAGUUUUUUUUUACGAUUUUUUUUUCAGUUUUUGUGGUAUUGUGCAAAAUACUACUUGAUUACGCAUAAAUGAAGAAUUGGCCUUCAUUUGUCUGUAAUCAAGUUUGGCUUUUUAGUAAAAUGAAAUUAAAAAGGGUUAUGUUGAUCCUUUGUUAUUUUGUUUUGCGUAGAGUGCACUUAAUUGAUGGUGUAACAUUGUUUAAACUUACAUCUCCCCAAAGAGCGGCAUACUCUGGUGUCUCUCGCAUCUCUUCUCACGCUUUGCACGCUUUUAUUAUAGGUGCUCUAGAUUACACCCUCGUAGCCAAGCUUCUUGUACACUUAUAUUUUGGAAGAAAAACCUUAUAACUGAGCUCUCUGACAAUACAGGGUAGAUAUUAAUUAUUAUUUACUGGCAUCGCCCAUCAACACCACCACAUAGAACAUGAUUAAAUCAACAAUGUUUAUACCCCUUAUGUACAGGUACAUAAUAUUAUAAAUGUUUGUGUCUGUCACAUUUCCAAGAACAAAAAGCAAACUGUGAGUUAAUAUUUCGCGAGUAAACUUCACUUUAAAAAAAUUGUGCAACCUAUUGUACAAUAUGUCAGUGCGCAGCGCAGUGCCCAGUCAACCAAACAACGAAAUCGUAUGAGGCCCUUCAAAAUAACUCGAAACUUACGUGGAUCUGCAGCACCUGCCUAUUUCCAAACUUUUCAACUACGCACUACGCACAUGAGUUCGCUUGACUUCACAAGUUUUAACGAGUUCACCACCCUGGAAUGUGCCACCGACGGGACCCCAGCUUUGAAACCGAAAAACCUGACGUUGUUGCCCUGCAGGAAACAAAGAUUGACUCGCACAUCCUAGACAGCGAACUCUUCCCCCCUGAACUGGGCUAUUCUAUAUUUAGAAAAGACAGAGUACUCGGCGGCAGAGGAGUUCUCCUGGCCAUAAAAUCAACGCUUAGUCCUAUUCGAUGUGAUGUUGAUACCAAGAACGCCGAAGGAGUCUGGGCCAAAGUGCGCCUGCGUGGGCAACCGCACUACUAGUAAAGAAGCAAAUUACAAGUUACUUCUUCAGACAUUGGCUUUUAACUAGGAGAACAAGCAGCUGGGAUUGUAGGGCUAGGGGCUCAUGGUAUUGCUUGAAGUAGAAUGUGUUCUUUGCAUUCAUCCGAUUGAGAAAACUGUGAAUUCUUGGCUACCUUGACGGAGCUGUCGUUGUGUGUGGCUGCCACCUAAUGGAGGAAAUGGGUGGCAGGGAUUAGUUUGCAUUUGCUCCAUCUAUCAGCGAGCUGUUCAGACAUCUUUCACAGGUUUCUCAGAGCAGAACAACACCCUCACCUUCUUGCACAGGUUUUGAGCAGCAAGGAAAAACUCUGAAGGUAAAGUUCCAACAACCUUUGACUGCAAAAUUGCUCUCUAAACAGUCCUCUUUGAACAAUCCUCUUUACUUUAGCUCCAACACCAUCGCAUGGCCCCUUGCCAUGUGUAGUUCCCGGUAGCACUUCAGUCAAAGUCACCUUCAUGGCAGAUAACAUUUGGCAGAUUGAGCCUGUUCUUGAACUGAGAUGAAGGGCCGUCAGUCCAAUAGUGAACUUUUUUAACUUCUGUUAUCUUUUUUUACUUAUCUUUUCUUACAAAAUAGCUGAGUUACAUGAAUAUACAAGGGACUUGUCAUGUGCAUUUCAUCACUGAUCACAGCAUAUGAUUGAUGCUGGAGUGACCCAUCUGCAGUAAACACAGUGACCAUUUCAUUGUGCCAGUGAGCUGACAUAAUCAUGCUUGAGUUGAAAGUUCUGCAAAAUCUUCAUGUACAAUUAUUUCUCCUGGUGCCAAGGAAUCUUUGAGAUAGAUUAGUUCAUUGAACUGUCGCCUGGUGUUGUAGACAUAUCUGGCAUAAAUGGCUUUAGCUGAGAAAUGAGGUCAUCCUUCACCUCACCUAUUGUUCAGUUGUUCCUUCACAACUUUACUUUCAUCUGUGGUUUUCCAUUGGUUAUAAGAAAUAGCUCAGUCAUCAUUAACUUCACCAAAUACGUCUUCAAUUGCGCUACAUUUUCACUCGCUGUCGACACAUUUCACAUUGUUGGUAACACCCAGUAGAUCCUCUGCUGUCUUGGGCAGGGUUCGUAGGAUGGAUUUAAUGCUAUCAAUCAUCUGUUCUAUAUUUUCACAUGCAGACUUAUUGACUCUGAGUGUAAUAGGCAUCACCUCUGAAACUUAGAAAAGCCAACUUCAAUUUUUUAUUCUGUCUUGAACAUUUCAUAGACUUUGGCCAGGUUAUAAAGCAGCAGCUUCUUUUGUCUGACUUCUUUUCCUGUUGUGGUUUUGAUGGAAAUGCAGUCUUUUCUUCCUAGCCUGAUAUUUCUAUGAUAGAACUUCUGAAUUUCAUGUACACUCUCCUAGGAUAAAGCAUUCUUUCUUUCAUCAUUUUCUAAUUUUCCCUCUUUUUACUGCACAAAUUUCAAGCAAUGACCUCCUUUUUCCCGGUGACAUGCCUUCAACAACCUUAGCAAUUACACAUGAAGCUUUGGAAGGGAUUUUUUUGGUAGCUGCUUUUUCACCUUUCUUACAGCUUUCCCCAAACUUUGGGGAGUCAAAUUAUUGCCAGUCUUGCUCCAAGGUCAUUCACUUACACAGCUUUCUCUUCCUGCUUCUUUCUAGCUCUCCUCAGCCUUUGCAUCUAUGCUAUUUUUUAGCUUAUAUACAGCUUUUUCCUUUGUUGCAUUGCCUUUCUUUCUAUGUCCUUUUUUUUACUGGCUUCAAGUUGUCCUUCAUCUUUCCUUAUCUUCUCUCUUAGUUUUCUCAUUCGUUGGUAAGACAACCAAACUCGGUAGGUGUCAUGUUGGUGUCAAGGGGGUGCUCCAAUAUGGUCACGUGAUUGUGACGUAAUCACAGCUCACAGCUGCAAAUCACAGCUGCACGUUUAUAAACAACCAAUCCGUGACGGCAGACAGAUUCGGAAAUAUUGACGAAAGGGCAUUUCAUAUUGACCAGCUACACCUGAGUAGGCACAAAGAAGCUGGUAGCAAGCACUAAACGUAUUGGCAGAUUAUUUACGACAGCAUUGUCCAAGAUAAGUGCUAAUUUAUAACACUUUAAUUUCAUAUUUAAAGACCGAAAAAUAGUUAAAAUUGGCUGUUGGAACAUGAACGGUUACAACAGCCAAACCCUUGGGAAUAAUCUCCACCAUGUUGAUUAUCUAAGCACAAUUAAAAAGCAUGAUAUUCUUGGGAUCGUUGAAACACACGCAGACGGGAAUUCCAAAUUAGAAGUUGAAGAUUAUAAAUAUAAUUACACAAUAAAAACUUUUAUAUAAACAUGUAACCAAAAGGCAACAAAACUAAGAAAGAGCUAUGGGAAUUCUUUUGAAGAAAAAGAUUACGAGAAUAAGAUGCCAAGGGUAUACAAUAACCUCGCUAAUAGAGAUAUAAAUGCUCAUAGAUAUAAUGCAUAUAUAUAAUUGAGAAGAACAUGUACACUGUAAUAAAUUCCAAACAGCAAAUUCAUGUACCUAAGAAAAUUUAAUAGUAUUAAUAUAUUUAUAAUACAUAUUUAUCAAGAUUUAUAUGAGAAAAAUAUAAAAAUUAAACACGAGGUUCCACUAAGGUAACAAGGCAGUUGUGUUGAGAGAUUGAUAAAUUAGUGAUUUGCUUUCCACUCACGUUUUCAGUGCAAAAUCUGCAUAAAUUAUUAUCGCGCUGUGACGAAAAUGUUCGUACUUUAGAGCGCACACAUUAUUCUGCUAUAAACAGAACAAUUUUAGGUGGCAAAGUCUAGGAGUGACAUUUAAUAAGGUUUAGAAUACAAAAUUUGAAUUGAGCGCUCAGGGAAAUUGUCCUGACAUAUUGACUCAUUGACGACUGAUUGAUAACUGAUUGUUCUUGAGCCCGGUGGUAGGAGGAGCUCAUUGAUGCUUUCCUGGAUUACACAGUUCUCGAAAAAAAAACAUCAAACAAUGCGUUUCAAGCAUUUUGAGUAGAGCUCUGUUUUCCUGAUAAGCAAAGGAAAGCAAAUUUGCCUCAUGGGAGAUAUUAACGUCGAUAUUUUAAAAAAGCGGGCGCUGUCACUAUGCGCAUGAUUUUUUAACAACACUUUAAACUCAUUCAAACUAUUGACAGGCCAACACUCAUCCAUAAAAAAUCAGCAACGCUUAUUGACAACAUCUUUGUUAGUAAUCUAGAACAGGUGGCAGUUAACGUCAACAUUCGUUCAUUCAUAUCAGCGGGUGAGCACAUAAAAGAAAAAAGAUGUAUUUAUGUACAAUAAAGUUGAAGUUGAAGUAAAAAAAUGCAAUAACAUCUCUUACACUUGAGCUCAUGUCCACUAAGCCGAGAAUAAACAAGCCACAUACAAAUGCUGUAACUCUAAAACGAGUAUCUGCUUCGUUUGGGUUUUCUUUGUUUCGUAAAUUAUUGUAUUGUGAUAGAUAAGACAGCGCGCCAGUCGUCGACUUCCGGUGUAUCAUUUGCAAAACAUAACUACAUACUUCAGUAAAUUUAACUCAACAAAAAAUUAGGUAACUAAACAACUCACCUUCGCAUUUAGCCUUCGAAGUCUCCUUGAUUUUGGCUUUUUGCCGUCGUCCUCUCGAUUUCGCUGUCAAGCUCACCAAGCCUCCGAUUGUUGAGGAAUAGCUGGUUUCUUUUUUCCUUUGCUUCCUUCAUGUACUUCCCAACUUUAAAUUGCAUUUUGGUUGAAUUUAGUGGGAAUAGAUAAUAAGUUCGCGCGAAAUCAAAGAUCAAAUCAAGAAAAAAAACAUAGCAACGAAGAUCGAAAUACACUGAAUCAAAUCAUGGUAAUUUUAAAACGGCUAAUUGAUCCAUGACAAAAUUAAAACAAGGCUUAAAAGAGCUAUCUCAUGGUGAAACAACAAAAUGGGUUUAAAUAUCUAGGUAUACUCGAAAUGGAUCUAGUGAGUUAUAACUUUAAGUAAAAGAGUACAGUACUUACAUUCACGUAAAACUAUACCUAUAAGACUUAGCUCUAGUUUUCUUUGAGGGAUUAUGUGUCGGUCGCAGAUCUCUUUUACUAGUCAUAGGGGUGCCUAUCGCUGGCGAAAAAACUUUGGGCCCUGUCACUGAACUCCAAUUUGCGGGUAUCACGCUUGACACGGUACGGAUGAAAGCGCGUUUACCCCCAGAUAAACUGGCGCGAUGCAUUGAAGGACUGACUAAUUUCUUUAGUAGAAACCGCGUCACAUUACAGGAGUUGCAAUCGUUAAUUGGUUUAUUGAGUUUUUGCAAUUGCGUGAUUGUGCAAGCACGUAGUUUUCUAAGAAGGUUAUACGAUUUAACUAUUGGAGUGCGUAAACCUUAUCAUCAUAUGUUUGACUAAAGGCUGCAAAGAGGAUAUGCUCGUUUGGUUAACCUUUUUGCGAGACUUUAACGUUCGCUCGUUCCUUGUGUUCUGAAGAUGGCUUACGUCUCUUACUCUAAAAUUACAUACGGAUGCUGCCGGGUUGUAUGGCUAUGCGGGGGUUUUUGGUGAAAACUGGUUCUUUGGCGAAUGCCCUGUUAGCUGGAGAACUUUUAACAUUACAUUUAACCCUAGCAAGUUUUUAUCAUAAUAUCACAUAAAAAUUGGCUUCAUGCGAACAACAUCGAGUGCCGUGCUUGUGAUGUAAUUGACACAUUGAUAUGGACUUUUCCGGCCACGUUUGAGUGACAUUUUAUUAUUGAAUAAUUAAAAAAUCGAUCAAGGUAAUUGUAUUACACAUUAAUUCCGUCGCUUCGGCAAAAGUGGGGACGAGAAACCGCCACAGGACACAUGGCAGAGGGGGCUCGCAAAUGAAGUGCGACUGCCAAAGGGAAGUACAGCCCAAGUCUGAAUAUUUCUCCAGGCCGUCACUUUUCAAUGACUUGUGGCUUAGUAUGUGUCUUAGGCAUGUUGCGGGCUACGUGUGUACCAAGUUUGGUUGGAUUAUCUCAAAAUCUGUAGAAGUUAUUUAAGGUUAACUUGAAUUUUGGGAAGUUUGCAAAAAAAGUCUAAACUUCAAUCUUCUUCCUGAAUCUUUCAUAGUUAGUGUCUACUAGCAUAGUUGGACCUUCCCUGUGACUUUGGGCUUGAAGAGGGCCGAGGUGUGUGAGGACCAUGCGUUUGUACGCAAGAGGGAUGCAAUAAGACAUUUGUGCGUGAUGCGGCCGUGGGGGAGGACUUGGAGAGGGCCGAGGUGGACCAGUAGUUCAUCUUCAAGCGCAGUAUCAAAUGUAUCUAAAAAUGUCCUUAUACCUUUUUUUUUCUUUUUGGUCAACUGUAGCAAAGUAGCAAUGUAGCAAAUGUAUCAAAUGUAUCUAAAAAUGUCCUUAUACCUUUUUUUUCUUUUUUAUUGUUAUUAUUCACAAUCGCAUCCCAAAAGUUCCAAAGUGCCGGAUAUGAAAUAUAUCGAGCCAAAUGCAAGUCUAGGUGCUAUCUUCAGCACUUCCAGACAAAACGACGCGAACUGGUGUACAUACUGUUUUGUCGACCUCGCAAACAAGGAGGAGGACUUGGAGAGGGCCGAGGUGGACCAGUAUUUCAUCUUCAACUUGGAGAGGGCCGAGGUGUGUAAGGACCAUGCGUUUGUACGCAAGAGGGAUGCAAUAAGACAUUUCUUCGUGAUGCGGCCGUGGAGGAGGACUUGGAGAGGGCAGAGGUGGACCAGUAGUUCAUCUUCAAGCGCAGUAUCAAAUGUAUCUAAAAAUGCCCUUAUACCUUUUUUUUCUUUUUGAUCAACUGUAGCAAAGCAGCAAAGUAGCAAUGUAGCAAAUGUAUCUAAAAAUGUCCUUAUACCUUUUUUUUUCUUUUUGAUCAACUGUAGCAAAGCAGCAAUGUAGCAAAGUAGCAAUGUAGCAAUUGUAUCUAAAAAUGUCCUUAUACCCUUUUUUUCUUUUUUAUUGUUAUUAUUCACAAUCGCAUCCCCAUUAUUCGCAUCCCAAAAGUUUCAAAAUGCCGGAUAUGAAAUAUAUCGAGCCAAAUGCAAGUCUAGGUGCUAUCUUCAGGUAAAAAAAUCUUUUUGCAAAAAUCAUUCGAGACGAAAGCCAAGAAAUGGCGCACAGUUGAAAACAAGACAUUCCGAUGGAGACAAAAGCGUUUUUAAACGCAUUAGCUGGUCUUUUGGCUCCUAUCAUGGGCAAACACUACAGUAGUUGAGUAGUUGUCCGACCUGUCUUUUCUUUUUUGUAUAUUUAUCAAAGCACUUCCAGACAAAACGAGUCGAACUGGUGUACAUACUGUUUUGUCGACCUCGCAAACAAGGAGGAGGACUUGGAGAGGACCGAGGUGGACCAGUAGUCCAUCUUCAACUUGGAGAGGGCCGAGCUGUGUGAGGACCAUGCGUUUGUACGCAAGAGGGAUGCAAUAAGACAUUUGUGCGUGAUGCGGCCGUGGAGGAGGACUUGGAGAGGGCCGAGGUGGACCAGUAGUUCAUCUUAAAGCGCAGUAUCAAAUGUAUCUAAAAAUGUCCUUAAACCUUUUUUUUUCUUUUUGAUCAACUGUAGCAAAGCAGCAAUGUAGCAAAGUAGCAAUGUAUCAAAUGUAUCUAAAAAUGUCCUUAUACCCUUUUUUUCUUUUUUAUUGUUAUUAUUCACAACCGCAUCCCCAUUAUUCGCAUCCCAAAAGUUCCAAAGUGCCGGAUAUGAAAUAUAUCGAGCCAAAUGCAAGUCUAGGUGCUAUCUUCAGGUAAGAAAAGCUUUUUGCAAAAAUCAUUCGGGACGAAAGCCAAGAAAUGGCGCACAGUUGAAAACAAAACAUUCCGAUGGAGACAAAAGCGUUUUUAAACGCAUUAGCUGGUCUUUUGGCUCCUAUCAUGGGCAAACACUACAGUACUUGAGUAGUUGUCCGACCUGUCUUUUCUUUUUUGUAUAUUUAUCAAAGCACUUCCAGACAAAACGAGUCGAACUGGUGUACAUACUGUUUUGUCGACCUCGCAAACAAGGAGGAGGACUUGGAGAGGACCGAGGUGGACCAGUAGUCCAUCUUCAACUUGGAGAGGGCCGAGGUGUGUGAGGACCAUGCGUUUGUACGCAAGAGGGAUGCAAUAAGACAUUUGUGCGUGAUGCGGCCGUGGAGGAGGACUUGGAGAGGGCCGAGGUGGACCAGUAGUUCAUCUUCAAGCGCAGUAUCAAAUGUAUCUAAAAA